rnacentral:rRNA from 1 species
CCUACGGGAGGCAGCAGUGAGGAAUAUUGGGCAAUGGGGGCAACCCUGACCCAGCCAUGCCGCGUGAGUGAAGAAGGUCUUCGGAUUGUAAAGCUCUUUCGGACGUGACGAUGAUGACUGUAGCGUCUAAAGAAGCACCGGCAAACUUCGUGCCAGCAGCCGCUGUAAUACGAAGGGUGCGCGCGUUGUUCGGUAUUACUGGGCGUAAAGGGAGUGUAGGCGGUUAUGUAAAGUAGCGGUGAAAGGCCGGGGCUCAACCCCGGGACUGCCAUUAUGACUCGGUAUCUAGAGUAAUAGAGAGGAUAGCGGAAUACCCAGUGGAGAGGUGAAAUGCGUAGAUAUUAGGUAGAACACCGGUGGCGAAGGCGGCUAACUGGCCAUUUACUGACGCUGAGGCUCGAAAGCAUGGGGAUCAAACAGGAUUAGAUACCCGAGUAGUC